UCUUGAUAAUUGUAAUCCCUACUCACUGAUCUCCCUACUGGGUUGAUCUGAAAGGUUUGUCUUAUUCGUAUUUUGGUAAGCUGUUUAUUAGGACCGGGCCAGCUCCGGACUGAACUCAUGUUCUGUGUUUUAUGUAGUGAUUUUUGGACAGGUUUUUUUUUGUUGUUGUUUUUUUCUAAAUAGCUAUGAUUUUGCCAUGACCUUUGAGCACCACACGGGACACCUUCUUUCUGCAUCUCCAUAAUCUCAUCCUGCAGCUUCUCCAGUUAUCCUUUAUGCAGUAAUCAAAACUGAGGUUACUGUGAAGCUUUAGCAAUGAUGAUUGACAAGAAAACAAUCUAAAGUGACCUGACACCUAAACGUGAGCUUUCCUAGAAGAGAAAGAAAAGAGGUAGAUGUGGAUCUGGCUUGUUCACCUGAGUAGAGUGCUGAGAGCCAGCAAUAAACACAUUGCUGAACUGCUGAGAAACCCUGCGAGCCUGAGAUUGCUGACAAAAUCUUGGAAUUGCUGAGAGAGCUUUAGUGGAAGAAGUCUGCUUUUAUUUUUCCAGUCUGUCUCACUUUAAAUUUCUUAGCUGUAUUGCUUCCAUUUUAGAAACUCCUUAGAAGGGGCUGCUGGUAUUAUUUUUAAGCUUAAUCUCUUUGAAACUGGCUUUUGCUUAUUUUAUCUGCACUGCUUUACCUUCGGGGCAUUGCUGUCUGUUCUCACAAGGUCAAUACCUGUUUUUCACUGAUACUGUUUCCUACAGAAGACUUUAACAAAAGCCCUGGUUUUUUCUUGCUUUUGAUUUGAGGAUCCAUGCAAAAUCUCUGGCAGUGUCUACAGGUUGCUCUACUUACUUUGAAAGUGAAUUGCCUGAUGAGGAAAAUACCCACUCCCACCACGUACUGGCGUUUCGGCUCCAGAUAAUAUCUUCUGUGCGUAAUAACUUCCACAGUGUGAGGGAACCUUGUCGGCACGAUGUGUGUCCACCUUUAAUCAGCGUUCAGGCAGGAGAGAGGCUUCCCACCCCUGUGCAUGGGUUGGUGUGCCGCUGCUGCCGCUCGGCAAUGGUCUGCUCUGUCCGCAGCUCAGCCAGCACUGCAUCGGAUUGUUUGGGAAGUCUCAGGGGCUGCCGAGUACCAGGAUAAAGUUCUUGGGAAGGCGUCAUUGCGAGAAGACUGACAGUGCGCACAGGAACCACAGCUACAGCCAGUCACCGAUUCGUUUCCUGCUUGAGUGCCAUAAAACAUUUUCAGAAAUGGAAGGAGAUAAAGGCCAGAGUGCUAAAGCUACCAGCGCAGUGGGUGACCUGAGGAAAAGUUGGCAGACCUGGGCAGAGGAUCACAUUGAGUAUCAGAGGAAGAAUCCGUUCAGCAGCGACGACAGGCUUGCGUCUAAACCCGCGCAUUCUCACAGAGGAGACCCUACCUAUGGGAGACCCCCUGAAGGGUCUCGGACAGAGCAGAGAGGGAAAGAUGCUCACUCACACGUGGGGAAGGAAGUAGAAGAGCUGUGCUUGAUCAUCAGAAGAACUGGAGAGGUAGGAGAAGAUGGACACGUGAGUGUGACAUUCGGGCAGCUGUUUGAAACAUAUGUGACUAUUUCCAAUAAAGUAGUGGGAAUAUUGUUAAGAGCCAGAAAACACGGUCUGGUUCAUUUUGAAGGUGAAAUGCUUUGGCAAGGAAAAGACAAUGAUGUGGUCAUCACUUUACUACAGUAAGGCUUUGUCCUGGAAUGAACUUUGCUGCAUGGUUCCAUUUAGAAAAACGCAUCUAGAUACCAUCUUCACAGGUUUUGGUUACAGAAUUUCAGCUCAGCUACCUACUGGGACACAAGCAGGAGAGGAAAUGGGCGAGAAGGAUAAAGCAUAUUUUUGUAAAAACGGUAGAGAUUUGGACAGAAAUUGCAGAUUAUGAACUACUCCAUCACCCUGACUUUGGAUGUCCUUACCAUCUACUACCAGUAUAUGAGUGCUCUUCAAAUAACUCUGCUGGCCUACUGCUUUUAGGUUACUGAAAGUAUAAAUUACUAACUUGCUAUCCUACAACAUUAAUUCCUGCAGGUUGUGAAAUGCUGACUGCAUGGGAGAAUGGGAUUUGUAAAACGUGGAAUUGAAAACUCUUGUGGGAAUUCAUACACUUCUUCAAACAAUGAGCCUGGUAUAUAGCAAAAGUUUCGGUUCAAUCUCACAUGGUUAAACUGAAUAAAUGGAAGCUAUUUUCAUGAAGGAGAUGGAAAUUCACAAACUUGCAGAAAUACCACAGCAAGGAUACUUGAUGGUUCCUAAUUAGUUGCAUCUUGCUUGGAUUUUGGACAGUUGCAUUAGUUCUGGUAUUUAAUAGUCUAAUCUUACAAUUAUGUCUUCUCCGAACCUUCUGUGUCUCUUGUUCUUUUUGUUUCCUAUCUCACACAGUUUUACCUUUUCUGUUCUUCUAAUGCUUGAGAAGAAGUCCACAAAGCUCUGAGGCCUUUUCGGACGAAUUCAGCAAUACCCCUUCAUAGAAGGUAGAGUACCACUGUGUAAAGAUGCAAAAGCCCACAGAAACUCUGUAUUGGUUCACCUGUGCUUUCCUAAAGAAAUAAAAGGCUUUUAUUUCAUCAAAAUAUAGCAAUGUUUUUUUACAAGAGGAGGGUAGAGAUACUGUACUGCCACAUGCAUAAAUGAAAGCAUAGCAGCACAGUCCCAUACCUCAUUUACCUGCUCUCAGGGCACAGUUGUGAGCUCUUCAGAAAGAAAAAUAAAGUACUGGUACUAUCAUAGUGCUAUGAAAAAUAAUCAGGAGCUGUAUUUACAAUAGUUCCCACCAAUAAAGCUAUAUAAUUAGAAAUCUAAAGUUCUAUUUUUUAGCAGUGCAAACAGAAGCUUUUGUGUGGUGUUAACUACACUACUUCAUGGGUCUUUAAAGUAAAAUACUGUCUUGCAUCAAAAGCAUAUUACAAUUUAAUUUAAAUUAGGAACUUUAUAAAAGUGAUGUGUAAUUAUAUGCUAUUUAUAUAAAAGAACUUCUAUUGCAAAAAGCCUAAAAGAAUGGGGUUUUGUUUUGAUGUUUUCAUCCAGUGGGGAUUUGCAACAAACUAAGUCUUUGGCUGAGGAUUUCAUUUUCAGCCUGCCUUCUUUUUCUUUCUGGUGAAAGGACAAUGAAAAGAGAGAAAAAAAAAAAAAAGGAGUAAAUUAAUGUGCUGAAGUAAGUGUAUCUGGGGAACAGGGCAGUCAAAUGUAGGUAGAGAAUGGGUUUUAAUUACCACACAAUUUUACCACGUUGGAAAAGGGGAGAUACAUGCUGCACCAGGCAAUAUUGGUGUGCUCCCUUAGGUUUCAAACCUACUGCUUCUUUCUAAAUAGACCUACAUCUUGCAGCUGAAAAAGAAGACAUGUAGUUUGUGAUCUUAACAUAUUUAAAAUGCUUUGUUCUUUUUGGAAAAGCAUUUCUUGCCAAAUGACAUGAGCACACAGGGCACAUACAGGUAUAAUACGGAGUAUUUCAGCUCCCAUUAGAGGAGGUCUUUACAUGCACUCAGAUUUCAACACAAAUUGAGCUUUUUACAGUGCAGAUAUGGAAUGAGUUUUGUUUAAUUCUAACAGUUCUGAAAUCCACUCUGUUCCACUAUGGUGUUAGUUCUUAACCUGCAGGAAGCAGCACCAAGCACUUCAAGUGUCACCAGCUGACUAAUGGGAUGGCACCAUCAGGAAAAAAAAUACAUUGCUGGACACUGUACAAAUAAUUCAUUGCAAGACACACACGUGAGGCAGUAUGUAGGCUGAGCAACAUAAGAUGCAAGUCCAGCUCACAUAAAUUUACUGGAUUUUAAUUAAGGCUGGCUCAAACAGUUAAAUAUCAGCAAUCUACACUGCCACUGCCAUGUAAGUGGUAGAUACUUGAGCACAUCUACAGACACUUUAAGUACACCUCUGAUCAAAACAGAAGCAGAGCAAACCCUUAAUGACAUGGUCUUACCUAAUUUGUGAGCAACUAAAAAAAGCUUCCUCUAUUAUUAUAUUUUUAAUAGAACCAAUGAUUACUAUGUAACAAAACUAUUAUUUAUAGAGGGAUUUUUUUUUUUUAAACAGUUACAAAGCCAUGUUUCCAACCUGCCAGCUUUAGAUGAGCAUUCUGGAAAGUGUGACUGAAAUCUUUCUGUGUGCCCAUGGAAUGAUUAUAAACACUGAGCUGCCAAACUGGCUCAGCACACAGGUUGACAAAUCCAGUCUUGUGCUUCCAACAAUAGCCAAUAUUUUAAAAAAAAGACUAAAUGAUAAAUAAUAGAACUGGUCAGCUUGCCCACUGGUACACUCUAGAAUAAAAAAUUACUCCUGAAGCCUGUAUAGUCAUGAAUGCUCAUAUCUAAUGCACAUGACUCAGUUUAGCUACAAGUUUAAAAAAAUAUACCAUCUGUGAUUAGAUUAACAUCUACAGAUGAAACAGGAAUUUAAACUUUUCAACAUGCAACUUUUUUUUUUUUUUUUAGCAGGUUCCCAUUAAAUGGAACAGAACUUAUUAAAUUAUUUUUGCAAAAAUUGUAGCAUGUGAGGUGUUUCAGUAUUACAGAUUAUUUGGACUAGUAAGUAAACCCUAACCUUUUAAAAGGUGUUCUUGCCCUACUAAGCAUCUUUCAGCUGUUUAAAUCUCUCCUAAAUUUCACUUUGUGACAGAUUACCUCAGUGGUCUUUCCUCUCCUUCCACUUAAAGCCUGCAUCUGUUUUAGAGUGUUUAUCAUAUAAGGAUUAUCUGUGGUUUGUUUUGUCAAACACUGAAGGCACUGUUACCAUUUUAAUAAAUGUUGCACAUUAGUUUGAAAUGACAAGAGUUUUUAUGCAGCAUUUUAUUGUUUACAAGUUUCUCAAAUUUCAAAUACAAUUUCCCCUGGUUUGUUCCCGUUCUUCUACUUUUAUUUACAACUCACACUUAAAAAGACUUUGGAAUAGUCUGAGGAGUUAUGACCAAUUUAAGCACAAUUUCCUCUUAUUUUUAACACUAUUUUAUGUACACCUGUUUCAUCCUUUCAGCAUAAUUUAAGCAUCAUUCAGCAUAAUUUCAGCAUUAUUCUCUGGGUUCGUGUUAGGUUGGGAGUUUACGUAAAACAAUUGAGCAAAACAGUACAAAUAAAGCUUUGUCAUUCCUAAACAUGAGGUCAAAAAAGCAGCUUUUCUCAAGACUGCUAAUACUGGAUCAAAGAACAGAGCAAGCAGCAAUGGCUAAACAACUUUCCUUUGCUUCUCCAGACUCCUGGAGAGUAAGAGUUUCUGAGUUCAUGCUUCUUAUUGAUCUUUGCUCCUUAGAAAGCUCUGCAGAUGAUUUCUGAAGUUUUAAAAUUACUAAAAGCUUCUAUAGAAGACAGUGACAAAGUUAAUAGGAUCUGCACUCUGUCUCUUCCAGGGGCUAGCCAGUAAUUCAGAAACAUAUUGGAAGUAUUAGGUUAGGCUUUUCAGAAAGUAUUUCUUCACCUAAUUAAAAAAAUUAUCUGCAGAGUCCAAGAAUGCUUGUCAGUGCAGAAGGAAAACAGACCACAGUUCUGUGCUGAAAAACACUAACGAGAGGCUGAGCAUUCCUCUCAGUAAUUAGUGUGCCUCUGUUUAAUGCUUUUCUAUUUCAGCUGUUCUGAGGCCUGUCUGUUGCUAUCAGGGAACACAGGUUUUCCCCAUCUUUUUCAUCAGCAAAACACUGGAAGUGACAUUAUACCCAGAUUUUUACCUUUCCAGUCUUGUCAUUAGUGGGGCCCUACUACAAAGAUAUAAAAGUUGGCCUUUGUGCUUUCAUAUACAUUUGGCAACAUACAGAGUCUAGCUGGGAUGGAGGUAACUUCCCUCAGAGCAUCCCAGGUUUUGGGUGUGACUGGAAGUGUCCCAGCUGUUCUGGUGAUUGCUGAGCAGUGUGUGUACAAUGUCAGGGUCUUCUUUCUCCUGCUCUGCCUUCCCACUGGGCAAAAAGCUUGGAGAGAGCACAACCUGCAUGCCUGACACAGACUGGCCAGCAGGUAUAUUCCAUGACAUAGAAUGUCUGGAAUAAAAACUGAAGAGAGGGCUUUCUUCUGGGGGGGGUGGGGGCCAUAGCUACUGGCCUGACUGUGGGAGGUCUUGAAUGAUUACC